GCAUUCGUGGUUCAGUGAUAGAAUUCUUACCUUCCACCUGGGAGACCUGGGUUCAAUUCCUGGCCAAAGCA
rnacentral:tRNA from 1 species